rnacentral:rRNA from 1 species
UUGACCUCGAAUCAGGUAGGAAUACCCGCUGAACUUAAGCAUAUCAAUAAGCGGAGGAAAAGAAACCAACCGGGAUUACCUCAGUAACGGCGAGUGAAGCGGUAACAGCUCAAAUUUGAAAUCUGGCUCUUCCGGAGUCCGAGUUGUAAUUUGUAGAAGAUGCUUUGGGUUGUGGGUUCGGCCUAAGUUCCUUGGAACAGGACGUCAUAGAGGGUGAGAAUCCCGUAUGUGGCCGAGGCCCGCGCCUAUGUAAAGCUCUUUCAACGAGUCGAGUUGUUUGGGAAUGCAGCUCAAAAUGGGUGGUAAAUUUCAUCUAAAGCUAAAUAUGGGCCAGAGACCGAUAGCGCACAAGUAGAGUGAUCGAAAGAUGAAAAGCACUUUGGAAAGAGAGUUAAACAGUACGUGAAAUUGUUGAAAGGGAAGCGCUUGCAACCAGACUUGGGCGCUGUCGAUCACCCCGAGUUCUCUCGAGUGCACUCGACAGCGCACAGGCCAGCAUCGGUUCGGGUGGCUGGAUAAAGGCCGUAGGAACGUGGCUCCCUUCGGGGAGUGUUAUAGCCUACGGUGCCAUGCAGCCCAGCCGGACCGAGGACCGCGCCUUCGGGCUAGGAUGCUGGCGUAAUGGUUGUAAGCGACCCGUCUUGAAACACGGACCAAGGAGUCUAACAUCUAUGCGAGUGUUUGGGUGGUAAACCCAUACGCGGAAUGAAAGUGAACGUAGGUGAGAACCCCUUUGGGGCGCAUCAUCGACCGAUCCUGAUGUCUUCGGAUGGAUUUGAGUAAGAGCAUAGCUGUUGGGACCCGAAAGAUGGUGAACUAUGCCUGAAUAGGGUGAAGCCAGAGGAAACUCUGGUGGAGGCUCGCAGCGGUUCUGACGUGCAAAUCGAUCGUCAAAUUUGGGCAUAGGGGCGAAAGACUAAUCGAACCAUCUAAUAACUAGUUCCUGCCGAUUCCCCCCUAAAG